CGGCCGCGUCGACGUGGACUGUGCGGAAGUGAGAAUGUCGGCUUGAGUAGCGCAAAUGUAGGUGAGAAUCCUACACCCCGAAACCCUAAGGGUUCCUCCGCCAGGCUCGUCCGCGGAGGGUGAGUCAGGUCCUAAGGCGGAGGCAGAAGUGCGUAGUCGAUGGAGUAACGGGUCAAUACUCCCCGUACCUGACUAUUGUUGGUGCAGGAGGGACGGAGAAGGCAAUCGCCAGCCGGAUGUUGGUUACCGGUUCAAGUAUUCGAGGUGUUGAGAGACGGAGAAACGUCUUGAGCUGAGGUACGAAUACGACCUCCGUACGGGAGGGUAAGUGGUAGAUGUCGAGGUCCUUCCCGAAGAAAACGCUACUAAACACCAAUAAACAAUGUACAGCCUACGUAACCCGAAACCGACACGAGGUAGGGUAGGUAGAGUACUACCGAAGGGCGCGAGAUAACUCUCUACUAAGGAACUCGGACAAAGUCGGACCCGUAACGUUCGGGAGUAACGGGUACCUACGCAAGUACGGUCACGUAGUAGAAGACGUCCCGAGGCGUACUCGGUUUAACCAAAACACGACGGUCUCCGACUAAACGUCGUAACGACGUACGUAGUCGGGGUCCG
rnacentral:sRNA from 1 species